rnacentral:rRNA from 1 species
UGCCAGCCGCCGCGGUAAUACGGAGGGAGCUAGCGUUGUUCGGAAUUACUGGGCGUAAAGCGCGCGUAGGCGGACUUUCAAGUCAGGGGUGAAAUCCCGAGGCUCGACCUCGGAACUGCCUUUGAUACUGAUAGUCUUGAGUCCGAGAGAGGUGAGUGGAAUUCCUAGUGUAGAGGUGAAAUUCGUAGAUAUUAGGAAGAACACCAGUGGCGAAGGCGGCUCACUGGCUCGGUACUGACGCUGAGAUGCGAAAGCGUGGGGAGCAAACAGGAUUAGAUA